UACGAAGGGGGCUAGCGUUGCUCGGAAUCACUGGGCGUAAAGGGUGCGUAGGCGGGUCUUUAAGUCAGGGGUGAAAUCCUGGAGCUCAACUCCAGAACUGCCUUUGAUACUGAGGAUCUUGAGUUCGGGAGAGGUGAGUGGAACUGCGAGUGUAGAGGUGAAAUUCGUAGAUAUUCGCAAGAACACCAGUGGCGAAGGCGGCUCACUGGCCCGAUACUGACGCUGAGGCACGAAAGCGUGGGGAGCAAACAGGAUUAGAA
rnacentral:rRNA from 1 species